GGGGUUAAAAUGGAAAUAUGCUAUAAAUAAACACUUGACAAAAAUUAGUCAGUGUUUGGUCUGGGCGUGCGAACGAGAGAAGGAACCAAGGGAACCAAAACCCUAAACAACCUAAAAUCAUCAAAUUGAAAGGGGAAUCGAGGGCUGAUCGAAUGCAUGAGUCUAGAUACCCUUUAAUCUAAGUGUAUUGAUCAUAAGUCGUAUGGUGGAACGUGUCAAGGAGAGCUCAAGCAUAGGAGGAUAACGGGUCAAGAUAAGGCAAGGUGACAAAUACACUUAUUGGAAUACUCAAGGUGAUGAAUGUCGGACUUUCGAAGUGUUGAUAUAAUAAUGAAACGGUUGAAUGUUGAAAGGAUAAUCGGACUGAAGUAACUUAUGCGGUUAGAAUAUGCUAUGGACGUUUUAGUUUAUACAAUAUUAUAUGUUUAGUCGUCACCAUCUACUAACAGGUUCGUUGUAUGAGAGUAUAUGUCAUACCCAUUUAAUUGGGUAAUCGAAUGCGUAAGAAAAAUGAAAGUACGCACACGAAUGGAACUAAAAUGACGGUUUUAUAAGCAAACAAGUAUAAUGACUAACUUUUUAAAGCUUUGUUGUUGAAUGUAGGUAAAUCCUCAAUUUUGGCGACUUGGAGAAUCGGAGCGAGCGCGUCUUCGUGUUAUGCGAUACCAAACGCUUCCGCUAGUUUGUUCAAAUGUUUUUUACCCAAAAUUUGUUGUAUUGGUUUUUAGUAGUAUCUUGUUGAACGAAUUGUAGAAUUGUAUCUAGUUUGUUUAUGUUUAAAACAGGGGUAUGCUCGUU
rnacentral:lncRNA from 1 species